AUGGAGGCGGGUGCGGGGCCUCCGAAGCCCGCGGCCACGGCGAAGGUGGCGUCGUCGUCGUCGUCGUGGUGCUCGUCCGUGGCCGCCACGGCGGCGAGCCUGGUGGCGGUGGGCCUGGGCGGCGCGGCGCUGCUGGUGUGGUGGGCGCUGGCGUUCCACCCGGCGCACGCGCGGCUCUGGAUGGUGCCCGCGGGGCUGGUCCUCCUCGGCACGCCCGUCCUCGCCUGGCUCUCCCUCUUCGCCUCCGGCCCGUGCCGCUGCGGCCGCCGCCCGGUCGACGCGCCGGAGCCUCCGGCGCCGGGCGCACACGCAGCCGCUUAG
rnacentral:rRNA from 1 species